rnacentral:rRNA from 1 species
AAUCAACGCUGGCGGCGUGCCUAACACAUGCAAGUCGAACGAGAAAGUGGAGCAAUCCAUGAGUAAAGUGGCGACCGGGUGAGUAACACGUGACUAACCUACCUUUCAGUGGGGAAUAACCUCGGGAAACCGGGGCUAAUACCGCAUAAUGUCUUCGGACCAAAGGAGCAAUUCGCUGGAAGAGGGGGUCGCGGCCGAUUAGCUAGUUGGCGGGGUAACGGCCCACCAAGGCAAUGAUCGGUAGCCGGCCUGAGAGGGCGCACGGCCACACUGGAACUGAAACACGGUCCAGACUCCUACGGGAGGCAGCAGUGGGGAAUUUUGCGCAAUGGGGGAAACCCUGACGCAGCAACGCCGCGUGGAGGAUGAAGCCCCUUGGGGUGUAAACUCCUUUCGAUCGGGACGAUGAUGACGGUACCGGAUGAAGAAGCACCGGCUAACUCUGUGCCAGCAGCCGCGGUAAUACAGAGGGUGCAAGCGUUGUUCGGAAUUAUUGGGCAUAAAGGGUGCGUAGGCGGUGUUCUAAGUCUGUUGUGAAAUCUACAGGCUCAACUUGUAGACUGCAAGGGAAACUGCCGGGCUUGAGUAUGGGAGAGGUGAGUGGAAUUCCUGGUGUAGCGGUGAAAUGCGUAGAUAUCAGGAGGAACACCUGUGGCGAAAGCGGCUCACUGGACCAUAACUGACGCUGAUGCACGAAAGCUAGGGGAGCAAACAGGAUUAGAUACCCUGGUAGUCCUAGCCCUAAACGAUGACUGCUUGGUGUGGCGGGUACCCAAUCCCGCCGUGCCGUAGCUAACGCGUUAAGCAGUCCGCCUGGGGAGUACGGUCGCAAGGCUG